CAGUCGCCGCGGUAAAACGAAGGGUGCAAGCGUUAAUCGGAAUUACUGGGCGUAAAGCGUGCGUAGGCGGUUUGUUAAGUCUGCUGUGAAAUCCCCGGGCUCAACCUGGGAAUGGCAGUGGAUACUGGCAAGCUAGAGUGUGUCAGAGGAUGGUGGAAUUCCCGGUGUAGCGGUGAAAUGCGUAGAGAUCGGGAGGAACAUCAGUGGCGAAGGCGGCUCACUGGACCAUAACUGACGCUGAGGCACGAAAGCUAGGGGAGCAAACAGGAUUAGAUACCCCGGUAGUCCCUGUCUCUUAUAC
rnacentral:rRNA from 1 species